rnacentral:rRNA from 1 species
GAUGAACGCUGGCGGCGUGCCUAAUACAUGCAAGUCGAGCGAACAGACGAGGAGCUUGCUCCUCUGACGUUAGCGGCGGACGGGUGAGUAACACGUGGAUAACCUACCUAUAAGACUGGGAUAACUUCGGGAAGCCGGAGCUAAUACCGGAUAAUAUAUUGAACCGCAUGGUUCAAUAGUGAAAGACGGUUUUGCUGUCACUUAUAGAUGGAUCCGCGCCGCAUUAGCUAGUUGGUAAGGUAACGGCUUACCAAGGCGACGAUGCGUAGCCGACCUGAGAGGGUGAUCGGCCACACUGGAACCGAGACACGGUCCAGACUCCUACGGGAGGCAGCAGUAGGGAAUCUUCCGCAAUGGGCGAAAGCCUGACGGAGCAACGCCGCGUGAGUGAUGAAGGUCUUCGGAUCGUAAAACUCUGUUAUUAGGGAAGAACAAAUGUGUAAGUAACUAUGCACGUCUUGACGGUACCUAAUCAGAAAGCCACGGCUAACUACGU